rnacentral:tRNA from 3 species
GUGGCAUUAGCUCAGAUGGAUAGAGCAGCGGCCUUCUAAGCCGUGGGUCGCGGGUUCGAAUCCUGCAUGCCGCGCCA